CAACUGAAGUACGUUUUACCCUGUUUAGCGACGUGAUGGCCAUGGACGGGGACAUAGAUCAGUUGACUAUCGUGGCGAAUAAUAACAUUUCUAUCAACUGUUGGGCAGAGUGCUAUCCAACUUGUCUCAUCAACUGGUACAGGACAAGCCCCAUCAGCGAUCCUCUCCCAACUCGGAAUGGUGAACUCAUCUGGCUGAUGGCCAGGGCAGACCAGACCGGUAAUUAUUACUGCACCGCCAUCAACCCGCAACUCACGGAUCAAAGAAAAGUGAAAGCUAUUGAUGUGGCGAUUAUCAUGCCUAAAUUCUAAUCGCAGCUUAAGUGGAGGUUUUCAAAUUGAAAAUACAAAAGCUGAUGUCUGGUACACAACUAAAAUAGACCAGGAGGUUGAUUUGUAAAUACUGUAAUACUUGAAAAGGUGAAGAGGAGAAUAUAAUAACGGAAAUAUACACGUUAUUGAUCUGAAAAUUAUUUAAAUUUGUCAGAUUAUUUUUUUUUAAUUUGAUUGAUGUUAAAUUUUAAAAUGGCCAGUUUAAAAUUGAAUUAUGACCAAAUGAAGUUUGACAAUUAUCGUAAAGUGCUUGGGGUAAACAAAUAGCAAUUUAUUUUCAUCAGUCUAUCCAAACAUUUUUUACUUCUAAGAUUUGUUGUGAACUUUCCGGCCAUUUAAUCUUAUGCCAUAUAAACAAAAUUUAAAAAUAAAUGGAAUUAAUACGGUAUUUAAUCUUAUGUCAUAUAAACAACAUUUAAAAAAUAAAUGGAAUUAAAAUGGUAUUUUUGUAAAAGUGCAUUCAGUUGCAUUAAUUCCACUGUUUAGUUGUAUGCACGUAUUAUUGUAUUCCGGGUAUUUUGGGUACAUUGUGUAUUAUUUUAUUUUAUAACGGUACUGAUAUUUAUUAUUAUUUUUAUCGUAUCACCACUGUAUUAUUUUUAAGGAUCUUUGAUAAAUAUUUUUAGUAAUAUGUUUUGAAAGAGUUUGUCUAAUGUAUAACGUCAAUGAGAAAGAAAACAUUUGCCCUAGAAAGUCGUGAACCUAGCAGAAUCCACGAAUAAUAUUCACAAAAAUAGAUGAAGCCUUUUCAUUGGUUCAGUUUUAAAAUCGUAGCACACAUUUCAACUCUUAGCCAAUGAAAAGCCUGCAUUCUUUAAAAAAAAGGUUUUCUUGAAUCAGGCCCCAGGUUGGUAUAUAGUACACGUACAUUUAUUCGUUGGAGGUUUAUAUAAUCGUAUAUGUAUUGUACAAAACAUUUAUUUCACGUCUUAUUAUUUAUCAUGUAUAAUUAUCUAUCUUCGGUUGCCGGUGUGGUGAAUUAUCUCCCUUGAUUUUGAGAUAGUAUAUUGAUAUAUCUACUUGGUUGUAAACUUUACGUACGAGCGAAAUAUGCUUAUUUGUGUAUUCAAAGGUUAUAUAAAUUAUUAAGGAAUUAAACAACUCUCUAGAUCAUCGAGUGACCGUUAUUUUGUAUCGAUUAAAGCACAAUCACUAUUUAAUAAUUUAAUGUAAAACGGAAUAAUCGAGACAAUGUUGCUUGACAAUGGGGGCUAUAAUGUGAAAACUUCAAGCACUCAUAUCUUCACUCAGGAUCAAGUAAUUUUCAAUAUAUCUAUUUUUGUCAAUUUCUGAACUAUUAUAGCAAGCACGGUGAGCUCUGAAUCUAAAUGUUACAUAAUUUAUCUUCAAUAUUAUUUUGGAAAGAGAGUUUCCAUCUUCAAUAGAAGGAACAGUACAAUAUUGGCAUCCAUAAUCUACCCGGCCUCAGUGACAUAGAUCUAUAGGCUAAAAUUGAUAAAAGAAAGAAGCUAUUUCAUAUAAAAAUCACAACGACGGACAAAUUGUUUUGGUAAUGACAUUGGAAACUAUAUAAAUAAAUCUGAUUUGUACACAA